rnacentral:rRNA from 1 species
AUUGAACGCUGGCGGCAUGCUUUACACAUGCAAGUCGAGCGGCAGCGCGGGGGCAACCCUGGCGGCGAGCGGCGAACGGGUGAGUAAUUCAUCGGAACGUAUCCUCGAGUGGGGGAUAACCCAGCGAAAGUUGGGCUAAUACCGCAUGAGCUCUGAGGAGGAAAGCGGGGGACCUGCGAGGGCCUCGCGCUGGAGGAGCGGCCGAUGUCCGAUUAGCUAGUUGGUGGGGUAAAGGCUUACCAAGGCGACGAUCGGUAGCUGGUCUGAGAGGAUGAUCAGCCACACUGGGACUGAGACACGGCCCAGACUCCUACGGGAGGCAGCAGUGGGGAAUUUUGGACAAUGGGGGCAACCCUGAUCCAGCCAUGCCGCGUGAGUGAAGAAGGCCUUCGGGUUGUAAAGCUCUUUCGGACGGAACGAAAUGGGCGGGACUAAUACUCCUGUCUGAUGACGGUACCGUAAGAAGAAGCACCGGCUAACUACGUG